GAGAAGCUCUACACUUAUUCAAACUACUAGAAUCAUCAAACGCAUAACUAUAAGCUUUAGGACAAAUCGCUUUAAACAGAUUCGCGAACAGAGUCGGCUUACACGCCUGAGGAUUCGCAUAUUCACCGGUGCAACAAUACUUAGCCGAUUGCAUCGCCAAGCAAGCACUUUUACAACCAACCACUUUCCCAUCUCUCUUAACUUCCAAAGCUGAUGGACAACAAAUGUUCAAAUUCACUUCACAAGCCGCAACGCCA